AAAAAGCUUUUGGAAGGCUUCUGCUGUAGCAUCGAAUACUUGGGACAAUUCUGUGUACUUCAAUGAUCUAUUUGGACACACUGUUAGUCCGCCUCGUUCUUUUUCUUUUUACUAGCGCCCAAUGUGUACUCCGAAAUUCUUAAAUAUGCGUAAUCUACUAUUUAUAAUUGAAAACUUUAUCCUUUUAGUCAAUAAAAUUUUCACCAACACCUGCUACCAUCACGGUCCAGUUCCAAGUGAGAACUUGGAAGGUUGAUAAAUCAGUGAAAUUUACAGAAUAUAGAACACAAUGCACAUGGUCACCACCACUUUCAUCUAAAACAAUUCACACUUAUUGAGAAAACGAUAUUAUUCCAAUCAUUUUCAUUGUUCUGUCAAUUUGUUGGCGAGAUGGCAUUGCCUUUGGUCGGACCCUUUGUCCGAAUAAGAAGGUUAUUCUCAGAACAAAUGGGAGCUCUGGCAAAUUCCUUAAAAAUAGUCUUUGACUAUUUGCCAUUUUCUUUACACAACCUGGUCCUCUUAUCCACUACUCGUUGGUGGUUAACCAAUUUCAAGCGUGUGCUUUCCAAUAUGUGAUGUAGUUGUUAUCCAGCUUCAUGAGUGCACUCUUUAUUCCUGAAACACUGUGCAGGCUAGGGUAGUUCUUGUGUGCUUUCCAAUAUGUGAUGUAGUUGUUAUCCAGCUUCAUGAGUGCACUCUUUAUUCCUGAAACACUGUGCAGGCUAGGGUAGUCCUUUUGUUCUGAAUGUGUUGUAGGCACACCUCUUUUAUCCACAGAUGUUCGAGUUCAAGUAUGUAAGCAAUUUUACCGAAAAGAUUGCAAUCAGCUUAUCCUGUAAAGCAGAGUAGUCACACGUAUAACUGGGAGUACCUGCAAAGAGAAAAAGGAGCAAACAUUUUACAAACAUAGGCACAUGUUAGCUGAAAAAUAACACUUGCUAUAUUAACUUUUUAUCCAAUUGUAUAUCCACCAAAAUACAAAGGUAAAUAUGGGAAAAAUUCUACGAAUCACUUAUUUAUGAGACAAAAUUAACAAUUUAAGCCAUCUGAUAAAAAAUUAAAGGCAAAAAAAUAUACUUUGCAACAAUAGAGUGCAUCGAGGAUUUGCAUCAAUUAAACGACAAAGAGAACAAACUGAAGAAGAAUCAUAAUAAGCACAUAUGGUCAAGCACUAACCAUUCAAGCAGCCAUAGAAGGACAAGAACAAGUGAGAACCCAUAGAAGCACUUAUAACCCAAACCCGCAGAAACCAAAGUAAACCGAGAAACACAUAAGUUUAGUUGAGGCUUUGAUCAGAGGGAAAAGGAUUAAAGCAGAAAGAGAAAUUUUCUCAAACACCUAGUAAGAGAGUGGAGAAGAAAAACACAGAAUUAAGAAUUAGAUGCAAACAAAACCUAGAGAACGAACAAGAAUAACAGAAUUGGUACCGAGCAAAAGCACAAAUAAGAGCAGAAAAUGCAACCAAACUGUAUGUGUAAAAAUGGGGGAGGACGUGUGCUACCAACACGGGCAAAUGGGAAGAGCUCUGUGUGUGUAAAACAGGCAGCACUUGAAAAGCAUGUUGAUGCGUUCUGCAUAUUUACUAUGUCCAGAAUUGUGCAAGAUGUGUCAUACAAGAAAAGAUUAGUCUUUUACAGGCUCAAUCUAUUAUCCAAGUCGGAGAUGGUUUAACGGAAAAUAAAUUAUAAAUGUCAAAUCUACGAAAACAGAAAAAGGCACAAAGUGGAUGCAAAUAGUUUAAAUAUGCAAUCAGAUAUAUUGGAUCCGCUUAGGAACAGAAAUGGAAUGCAAAUGAUACAAUUGCACCAUAUGGCAGAAGAGAAUGCCUUUGUAAUGGUAGGACCAAAAAUAUAUGGCUCAGGAUCAAACUCUUGCAAGCGCGCAACCUAUAUAGCAUUCUCAUAUAGAAUGCAUUGGAAGUUGGUUCAAGCCUCCUAUAUUAGAACUAAUGGUUGAAAAGCCAGUAGAAAAGACAAACGGAACAGGAUUAGUGCUCGAUCACCCAAGCCCAUUAAAUCCAGCUCAUAUAACACAUGUGACGGUAGAGUAAACAAUAAUACACCAAGAAAUACAGCAUCAUCUAAUCAUUUAUUUACUGUAAUUUUGAAAGAAUUUUAACUAAAUUUGCUAGUUUGCCUCUGUAAUAAAUAAAUGAAAGAAUGUGGAAACUAAAAAGAAAUAGAUAAGUAGAAGAAAAGGGAGAGUAUGAAUUAGUGGAGAACAAUUAGGCACCACAAGAAUAAAGUUAAUAACAUAGUGCGGACAACAUUACAGAGCUAAGAACACUAAAAGUUUGUUUGCUCAACUACUGAAGGAUUACAUGCACCAAAUCCCCUAAGCAUUCACAAUUAUUAAUUUACUAAAUAUGUAUGCUUUCUUACCUUCAGAGGGUCAAAAUACUAAGCAGAAAAUAAUGACAAAAAACUUCCACAGAACCAACUGUCCAAAAUCGUGAUGUAUUUCCUUCGGUAAGCAAAGUGUCCAAUUGCAAUGGUGUCAAAUGAUUUGAACAGCUUGGACAUUUACAUUAAUACUUAUUGUACUUUUUCAUUUUAUUUUUGUAAAUACUCUCUGUGCAUCUUACUAAUAGGAGUAGCAAGAUUAGCUAGUCCUUCAUAUGGAAGUUGUUGUACUAUAAUGUGUAUAACCGGGAGGAAAAAAACCGACACAACGAAAGAAUUCGAUAAGAUUACCAAGUAUAGACAAUAUCCUCAAAUAAUGGUAACGAUGAAAUUGGAAAAAAUUAGAAAGUCAAUAAGUCAUCCAUGUACUAAAUAGAUUCUUCAUAGUGCUUAUAUAUGAAUUGCAUUGUGAAAACAAUCAUACUGUAUUGACAUCUCAAGCUCCAAAGAUGAACCAAACAAACCAAAAAACAGAUAGAUAGCUUAUGAUAUUUGUAGAACUUUGGAGGAAAAGGAUAAUUUCAAAUGGAUGAACACUUAAUCACACAAGUUUGAUUGUGGAUCAAUAAACCCUCCUCCUUUAUUGGGGCUUGGAAUGCUGUGUUGUAGUAUAACUGAAAUACAGGCGGAGUUAAAAUUUUUGCCAUUCAGUUCUUCAGGUAGACAACAACAACAACAACAACCCAGUAUAAUCCCACUUAGUGGGGUCUGGGGAGGGUAGUGUGUACGCAGACCUUACCCCUACCCUAGGGUAGAGAGACUGUUUCCAAAUAGACCCCCUACAUCCUUCCCUCCAAGAACUUCCCACCUUGCACUUGGGGAGACUCGAACUCACAACCUCUCGGUUGGAAGUGGGGGUUGCUUACCAUCAGAGCAACCCCUCUUGUCUUCAGUUCUUCAGGUAGAGUUCAUAGGAAAUUCUAUUAUAACAAAGUUUUUGGUGGAAUAAGGCUCAAUAUGGUAGAAUUAACACUGAAGUACAAUAAACCCGCACAGUGUUCCACUUUAUUUGAUGCUUCAACACAUUUAAAAUGAAAAGGAAGAGUAGAGGACAUUCACCUAUAUGAGGCUGUACAGUAAAAGAUAAGCUGUAUAUUUAUGAACACUUGUUUGGUUCUUUGGAAUCCAUCAAUUAUGCCAGUUCAAGUUUCCUUUUUACCUGUAAAUAUUUCCAUCCGAAGUUCUCAAUGAGAUGUUUAAAAAAUAUCACCGUAUCUAUUAAAGAUUCUAUCUUUUACCCACCAAAUUAAGUUCUGUCACCGCACAUAAUUUAUCUAAAAUCAAAAUUAGCAGCCCGUUCUUCUCCCAAGUGGAACAAGAAAUUAAAUUGACAAACAAAUAAUAAACAUUUAGUAAACACUCUGACUCAUUCAAGAAUUUCCUCAAACACCUAAAGAGCAAAGACAACUCCACAUAUUAAACUUUCCGUGCAGCAAAAGCCUAGCAUCCCAUGAAAGAUGGCAGAGAGAAACAAAAGAUAAGAAGAAGAAAACUCACAGGAAAACAAUAACCGAAACGAAAAAUUCGGCAAAUUGUACAGCUAACAACAAGAAGAGCGAGGGGAGAGAAGGUCGCAGUCGCAAAGGAGUUUGAAGAUUGUUAAACUUUUCAGAUGUUGCUAGAUUAACACACAAAGCGUUAAAAUUGGACGUAUCUCAGUGCUCCCCUCCUGACCAUAAAAACAAUUUACUGCUAAUACUAUAGAAUUGAACCCAAUUAUUCCACAGUCAAGAAAUUAAACCCAAAACAAUAGUAGAAAUCUAGAAAAAGGCUUAAUUCAUUCAAUAAUUGCCUCGAACACCUAAAGAACAAAGGCGAUUGAGACAUUAAACUUUCUGUGCAGCAAAGCCCUAGCAUGUCAUCAAAGAUUAAAUAGAGAAACACAAGAUGAGAAGAAGAAAACUCACAAGAAACAAUGAUCCCAAGAGGAAAAUUCUCGAAACUGCAAAGAUAUCAGGGAAUUCGCAGACGGCGGAGCUUUUGAACUAUUUCUAGAUGGGUACAAAGCGCUGAAUCUUUUUAAUGCAGAGAACGCUGCGUCUGCCACGUUUCUCAAAUUAAGGCAGAAGGACAAUAUUACCCUUAUAAAGACUAGGCAGACAUGUCGUUCAGGUGCCUGCUGACUCCCUCUUAUAAGAUAGUAGGAAGUAC
rnacentral:lncRNA from 1 species